AAAAUAAUGGAAGAGGCCCUUGGACCUGACAACAGGCAUACGAUUAAGGCAUUGCCAUCUACUUCAUGGCAUCUAACCACUGGUUUUU
ensembl:snRNA